GCCUGGGUGGCUCAGUCAGUUAAGCAUCUGACUUCAGCUCAGGUCAUGGUCUCAUGGUUUGUGAGUUCGAGCCCCACGUCGGGCU
rnacentral:tRNA from 1 species